GGCCGUUGUUGUUGUAAUUGCUAUUGCUGUCAUUGUUGCCCUUGUUGUUGUUGCUCGGUAGUGUGUGGUUGUUGUUGCUUGAAACGGUGAUCGCCGGUGCCUGGCACCAAAUGCUGCACAUCAGUGGAAGCGAGACAGAGCGAGAGAGGCGAAUGAAAAUAAAUAAAUGAAAGAAAGAAAUACACAGGAAAGCAACAACAAAACGACGACGCACACACAAAGGAGCAAUAAAGAAAUCAACAACAACCACAAGGCAGACAACGAGAGUGAAGAGCAAAAAAAAACAAAAAUAAAAUUGUUAAUGGCUGAAAAAUACCUUUUCGAGAAGGAGACGGAAUACUAAUAGUGGUUGGGCAACUCUGAGAGCAACAGCAACAAUUAGAGCCGGCCGGCUAGCCAGAGAAAAAAAAAGGCAGCCAAGCAUUAAGCAUUAAGCAGCGACUGCAAAAGCAACUGCAAAUGCAACUGCGUUUGGAGAUUGCAGUUUGAACUGGUUUUCACCUGAGCUUGUCAACUCGGUUUGGAAGAAGAAGAAGAGAAGAAGAAGAAGAAGAUCGCCUUGGCGACCGGAAUACACCAAUGAGCAUAUUUAUUGACAUUGGCAUGCAAUUUAAAUGGCCGCGACAGUUGAGCAUUGAGCAAAUGCCAAACCGUUGGGCGAAAGUCGACAGCAGCGGUCACAACAGUAGACUGUGACUUGGAAUCAAGUGCCAUUACCGCAUCGAAAGCGAAAAAAAAGAAAGAAAAAAGCGACGUGGAAACGGGGAAGAAAAUAGAACAUUGAGCAGAUUACAUUAAUUUAAAGCACAAAUGAAUUGCUCGACGAAACGAAAGCGAAGAAGAAGAAGAAGACGAUGAUAAAGAAGAAGAAGAAGAAAAAAAGUGAAAAACGUGGAUGCAAAAUAAAUAAAAAGUAAAGUAUUAAAAAGUGAGCAACAAUCAAAUACAAUAGCUGGCGGAGAUCAAAAUAACGAGCGUUUCGAUGGCUUGGGAUGCCUACACUGAUAAAGAAAACGUAUUUUUCUGCCGCGAGCGUUUACCGUGCAUACUAACUGGCCAUAAAUGCGAGCAGCAGCAACUGGCCCGACGGCAACACAAAAAGUUUCAUGAAAGAAGCAUCAACAGCAACAUCAACUCCAGCAGCAACAUCAACUACAGCAGCAACAUCAGUGCAAACAACAUCAACAACAAAAACGCAAUUAGCAGCAGUAACAACGCCAGCAACACUUACAACAGCAACAGGCAAUAGCAGCAGCAACAGCAACAGCAACAGCAACAGCAGCAACACGACUAACAACAGCAACAUAUGUGCGCAAGAGCAACAUCAACAGCUUGAGAUGAAAGCGGCAAGUGCAAUCCAAUUUAUAAAAUCAUAAAACUAUGCCCAACAAGUGGAAAAUAAAGGAAAUCCUGCACUUAUAAAGUUUGUUUAACAAUAAAAAAGUAAGAGAAACUUGAUGAAAUUUGAAGCGAUUUUGGAAAACUA